rnacentral:rRNA from 1 species
AUGCUGACAGAGGAGCAGAAGACUAUGCAAGCGGCGGUGCUGCGCGAGGCGGUCAAGUUCGAGGUCGCGAGUUGCUGCGUCCACGGAUGUCCGUCGCUGCAUCUUCAUUCUCCUCACCUCCCCCGUCGACUGCAUCUUCAACCUCCAUCCGCCGCCGCCGUCCAUGGGAUGGUUAAUGGAAGGAGAAGCUUGUGGUGUGGCUCUGAAACUCCACCAUAUAACGUAAUCAACCUUCGAUCAAUCAGGCCACUGUAUAGAGCUGCCAUAAAAGCAUAUGUUAGGAAAACAAAUAGAUUGGUGGUUCUAGAAGAAGGCUCCCCCCAGCAUCGUGUUGAUUCUAUGCCUGCAUAUUGUUUACUUUAUCCUCGCUGCAGCGACCUUGCAUAUGGUCAUUGGGUGCUGAUCGCCUCCAUGUCUUUGGUACAUUAUGAAGAAGAAGAUUGCUGGUCGAAAAGGCCAUUUAUUUUAUUGAAGAAAUUGGCAAGGAUGUAUUUUCAGUACAUUAGGAUUUUUGGUAGUCUCAUGGUUCUGCUAGGAAGAUACCGUCGCUACCAGGUCAACAAUCCCCCCUUCAAUAAUAUUUGA